rnacentral:rRNA from 1 species
UACGUAGGGGGCAAGCGUUGUCCGGAAUCAUUGGGCGUAAAGCGCGCGCAGGCGGACUGGUCAGUCCGGGGUGAAAUCUCACGGCUCAACCGUGAGUGGUCCCUGGAUACUGCCAGCCUUGAGGUGUCUAGAGGAGAGCGGAAUUCCCGGUGUAGUGGUGGAAUGCGUAGAUAUCGGGAGGAACACCAGUGGCGAAGGCGACUACCUGGCCUGUUUCUUGACGCUGAGGCGCGAAAGCUAGGGGAGCAAACGGG